rnacentral:rRNA from 1 species
CAUGCAAGUCGAGCGGUAGAGAGAAGCUUGCUUCUCUUGAGAGCGGCGGACGGGUGAGUAAUGCCUAGGAAUCUGCCUGGUAGUGGGGGAUAACGCUCGGAAACGGACGCUAAUACCGCAUACGUCCUACGGGAGAAAGCAGGGGACCUUCGGGCCUUGCGCUAUCAGAUGAGCCUAGGUCUGGAUUAGCUAGUUGGUGAGGCUAAUGGCUCACCAAGGCGACGAUUCCGUAACUGGUCUGAGAGGAUCGAUCAGUCACACUGGAACUGACGACACGGUCCAGACUCCUACGGGAGGCAGCAGUGGGGAAUAUUGGACAAUGGGCGAAAGCCUGAUCCAGCCAUGCCGCGUGUGUGAAGAAGGUCUUCGGAUUGUAAAGCACUUUAAGUUGGGAGGAAGAGCAGUAAAUUAAUACUUUGCUGUUUUGACGUUACCGACAGAAUAAGCACCGGCUAACUCUGUGCCAGCAGCCGCGGUAAUACAGAGGGUGCAAGCGUUAAUCGGAAUUACUGGGCGUAAAGCGCGCGUAGGUGGUUCGUUAAGUUGGGAUGUGAAAUCCCCCGGGCUCAACCUGGGAACUGCAUUCAAAACUGUCGAGCUAGAGUAUGGUAGAGGGUGGUGGAAUUUCCUGUGUAGCGGUGAAAUGCGUAGAUAUAGGAAGGAACACCAGUGGCGAAGGCGACCACCUGGACUAAUACUGACACUGAGGUGCGAAAGCGUGGGGAGCAAACAGGAUUAGAUACCCUGGUAGUCCACGCCGUAAACGAUGUCAACUAGCCGUUGGGAGCCUUGAGCUCUUAGUGGCGCAGCUAACGCAUUAAGUUGACCGCCUGGGGAGUACGGCGCGCAAGGUUAAAACUCAAAUGAAUUGACGGGGGCCCGCACAAGCGGUGGAGCAUGUGGGUUUAAUUCGAAGCAACGCGAAGAACCUUACCAGGCCUUGACAUCCAAUGAACUUUCCAGAGAUGGAUUGGUGCCUUCGGGAACAUUGAGACAGGUGCUGCAUGGCUGUCGUCAGCUCGUGUCGUGAGAUGUUGGGUUAAGUCCCGUAACGAGCGCAACCCUUGUCCUUAGUUACCAGCACGUAAUGGUGGGCACUCUAAGGAGACUGCGCGGUGACAAACCGGAGGAAGGUGGGGAAUGACGUCAAGUCAUCCAUGGCCCUUACGGCCUGGGUCUGACACACGUGCUACAAUGGUCGGUACAGAGGGUUGCCAAGCCGCGAGGUGGAGCUAAUCCCAGAAAACCGAUCGUAGUCCGGAUCGCAGUCUGCAACUCGACUGCGUGAAGUCGGAAUCGCUAGUAAUCGCGAAUCAGAAUGUCGCGGUGAAUACGUUCCCGGGCCUUGUACACACCGCCCGUCACACCAUGGGAGUGGGUUGCACCAGAAGUAGCUAGUCUAACCUUCGGGAGGACGGUACC